rnacentral:rRNA from 1 species
GCUUACGGCCAUACCACCCUGAACACGCCCGAUCUCUUCCGAUCUCGGAAACCAAGCAGGGUCGGGCCUGGUUAGUACUUGGAUGGGAGACUGCUUGGGAAUACCAGGUGUUGUAAGCU